AUGUCGGCCUCCCGGUGUCCUAGGAACGCUGGUUGCCUAGAGACGCGAGGAUGGCUGCCAGCCCAGGGGCGAUUUACAGGCCUCUUCGUGUGAGCUGUCUGGACUUCGUCACAGCAGGCCAGCCUCAGGGCAGUUGGACAGCUGACCUGGCAGCUGAGUCUUCACUGCUGAGCAUUCAUUUGAGCGAGGUGGAAGCUGCAGCUCCUUUGAUGACCGUGCCUUGGGAACCACACAGCUUCAUUUCUGCUGCAUCCCGCCAGCUAUGAGCAAUUCUCCAGCCCAUCUGGAUUCAAGGAGCAGGGGGCAUAGACCUCCCUUCCCAGUGGGCGGAAUGGCACAGUCACAUUGUCAUAUUGUCGAAGAGGAUGCUGCGUAGGAAAUAUUGUUGCAGCCAUCUUUGGGAAACAGCUUACCACAGCCUGCCUCUCUGGCUUUAACAGUUCACAUCUGUAAGCUAUACUCAUCUCCUCCAAGACCCCAAUGUCUCACCAAUCAUGGCAGCAGGUUGAAGUCCAGGACCUCAUCACCUAAAUCAGCUACUGCCGCACCAGAGGCUCUUUGGGACUGCUCCCUAGGGUGCAGCUCCUUAGGUGCUACUCCUCUCAGUCUGAAGACCUGCGAACUAAAGGACAAGUUAUUGUCAUCUUACACACCCAAAAUAUAAUAGUGGGGCAGACAUAGGAAAUCUGCUCCCAUUCAAAACCGGGGACAACAGGAGUCCCCACAAGGCAGCCACGGGCCCAUAGAAAUUCCUAAGUCCUGCUGGGUCCGUGUAGGGUUCACUCCUGCUCACUUGGAGUUCAGAGCUCUUGGCUGCACCCUCUGUGUCUAAGCCUGCCUUCCUUCCUUAUGCAUAAAAAUGACCCAUGUUUGCAAGUGAGUAUCCUUCUCAGCCCCCUUCCUGCCCCAAAAAGGCUGUGAGUCCAAAGAUCUCUUUUUAUUUUGGACAGGUUGAUAGGGCUGUUUUAAAAACUUUGUGGCAUCUGUGCAUGUAUUUAUACUAUCUUUCUGUUUAUAAUUAGCUUUUGUUUUUUCCACUUUUUGCCGUGAGUCCUCCAAUUAACCCAUACUUCUACCAUAAUUUUGUCCGGUAUUUUUCUUUCUACUCAAACACUUUCCAAUUUCACCAUUUUUCUUUAUUAGCCACUCAUGUUAGCCCCUUAGUUAGCAUCUCUGCAACCUCAAGAAAUGGAAAAUAUUCUUGGGAAUUGAGGUUGUCAUGAAGUUUUCUUCAAAAUGAUUCUCCGCCCGGGUCUGCAAUUGAGUUCUUGGAACUUACCGACUGACUCCAUGGCCCACCUCACUGAGGGCUUGUUGAUUGACCUCUAUUCUUAAAGAGGUAAGCUCCCAAUUUUCUGUUCUGAGAGUAUUUUGGUAGAGAAGGAGUUUGGUAGUUGUACAUAUGUGUUGUUGGGGGAUACAUAGGAAAUGAGAAAAAAAAACCUUGUGGGUUUUUAUGUAUCAAUUAGGCAAAAGCCACAUCCCCCCGAAAUCUCUUGGAGAUUAAGACUCUGUCUGCCUUGGGCUCUCUGUGGGCUUUCCGUGAGAGCACAGCCUGAAGACUCUUAGCAGCUCUAUUAGGAGAGAGGGUCCACAGAGGUAUUCCCCUGAGAUCCUUAGGAGGCUUUUUUUGGGGGUCUGAAGGGGUUCAUGAGGCACCCCCUUAGAUCCUUCUGAAAUCUUACCUCAGGACAUUAUAGUCCCUGAGGAACUUCUUACUUUGAGAACUUUUACUAGCUGAAAAGACUGUUCUGGGCCAUUUCACAUUUCCUCCAGGGAAUGGUUCAUUUUUCAGUUCUUCUCUCCCUCUCUCGUUUUAUUGUAAUUAGUGAGAAGAGGCCAGGUAGCACCUGGACGCUGUGCCUAGGAAACUCUUAGCUGGACUAUUGGAGGGCAUUAGGUACAUUUUCUAUUUUCCAUUUACAUUAGGUGACAGUAUUGAGCAACUUUCUGCCACCACAUAACAAAGUCCCCUUCUCUCCAUGUUCCCAUAACACUAUCCUCAUGUUCCUUCAAGCCCUCAACAGCAACUUCCUUGAUGACCUUAGGGUCUACUAAUACCCUCCCUAAGGGCCCUGCAGGCUUUCACUCAUGUUUUCCUCAAGAGACGAGCCAGUGCCAAAGCCAGUGGCACAUGUUUUAAGACUUUGUUACAGUAGCACUCCACUUCCAAUACCAGAUUUCUGUUACAAUUACUGUUGCUGCCUAUAAUAUCACCCCAAAACUCUAUAGUGUAUGGAACAAAGAUGUUACUGUCUCUCAUGGUUUCUGUUGGUCAGGAAUUCAGGGAAGGUCUGGCUGGCAGUGCUGGUGCAGGAGCUCUCAUGCCAUUGCUGUCCGUCAGCUGCUGGAGCUAGAGAGUGUGGCAUUGGGACAUAUGGGGCGGAUGGUCUCUCUUUCUCUGCAGGUAGCCUCAGAGCCUCGCUAGGUGUUUAGAUGGACUCUGAGGUUUCCUCCUAGCACCACAGCCCGAGGGGACUGCUCACAUGGUAGCCAAAAGCUUCAAGAACAAGUACUCCAGCGAGGAAAGCGGAAGCGGCAUUGCCUUUCGCGGUGUGGGAAGCCACGAGGCAGCACUUCCAUCAUUGUCUUCCGCUACAGGCGAGUCUGCGGCCAACAAGACUCGCAAUGGGAGGAGUGGCACAGCCACGCUGUAGAAGAGGAUGUGAGAUGGAAAAGAAAACUUGCCACAUGUCAAAAAUGGUCCCUUAUUGGUAAUUUCAUAUAGUUCAGCCUAAUACAGACAUGUAUGAAUGGGUGGAGAAAGAAACCUGGAUUCCAUUUUAUUCAGAAAAUUUUCAUCUAUUAGAUUGACCUAUAAUUAUUUUUUUCCCUACUGUCUCCAGAUUUGCUUGCGAAGAUUAUACCAGGAUUGUAAAAUGAAUUUUGGAGUAAUCUAUCCUUUCAAAAUUAUUGUAACACUGUUUGUAUAACAUAGUGAUGAUCAAGUCCUUCCAUGUUUGGUGAAAUUUUACUGCUCAAUAAUCUAGGCUUGCUACAUUUCAUGAAGUAAAACGCAAGAGGAGAGAGAUAAAUUGAAGAAUGAGUGUUAAACAUAAAGGAAGCAGUUCUUGAAGAUUUGGAAGACUCUCAGCCUAUUCAUAUUGCCAAAAAUGAAAAAGCAUGCUGUGGAGAGAAUACCUAGAGUGUGGCCGGACAAUGUUUGCUAAAGAGCUGAGGUGUGUGACUUGUGAAUCCAACUAUCUCAGCAGAAAUGCCACCAACUUGGACUGAAGGGGACAGAGAAGGGCUGAAAUGAAGGAAUGUUGUUGGACUUCUUGGAUUCUAUAGGCAGGAAAUGGGCUGAUAGAGCUAGCUAGCUGUGAACAUGGGUUGUCCUUAAGAAAAGGGAAGAAUGACCCUGAUGGCAGGAACACUUCUUUGGUUCCAGAGGGUGAAGCCACCUUUUCAAUUCCAGAGGCCUUGUCCACCACUCAGGGAUGAGGGGGCAGGGCCACCAGCCCAGUGGGCUCAAAGGACAGAGCAUUUAGCCAAAGAGUAUUAUUCUCAAGCCUUAAAAUCUCAUGGAAUUUGCCCUGCUUGGUUUUGUACUUGCUUGGGACUCCACAUCCUUUUUCCUGACUUUUCCCUCUGGAAUGGGAAUAUCUAUCCUAUGCCUGUCUGCUCAUUGUAUUUUGGAAGCAGGUAAUUUGCUGUCUAGCUUCACGGGUUCACAGAUGAAAGGAAUAUUGCCCCAGGCUGAACCAUACCCAAGUCUCACCCAUAAGCUGACUUACAUGAUAUCUUGGACAGAGUUCAUGCUGGAAUAGAUUGAACUUUUGGGGGAUGUGGGCUGAGGUGAAUAAUUUGCAGGUGGAAAGAACAUAAAUGGGGGGCGGGGGGGAAGAGGGCAGACCGUGAUGGGUUGAAUUCUGUCCUUUCAAAAAAGGUACAUUGGAUUCCUAACCCCCAGCACCUCAGAAUGUGAAGUUAAUUAGACACAGGGUCUUUACAGGGAUAAUGAAGUUGACAUUAGAUCAUUAGGGUGAGAACUAGGCCAGUGUGACUGGUGCCCUUACAAAAAGAGGAAAUCUGGACAGAGAGCUGGUGACAAUGAGGCAUGGGGUAUAGGUAGAAUAAGCUUCCUCCUGCUGUCUCAGAGAAGGGAAGGGGCCCUACCUCAGGAGUCGGCAGGUUUUGUGGGUAAUACAGUGUCUGCCACAACAAUUCAAUGCUGCCAGGACAGUGCAAAAGCAGCCACACAACACAGAAAUGAUGCAUCGGGCUAUGUCCCAGUAAACCUUGAUUUAUGGGCACUGAAAUUUGCAUUUCAAAUAAUUUUCUCAUUUCAUGAAACAGUUUUGAUCUUUUUUCAACCAUUUAAAAAUGUAAAAGUUUCUUAGCUUGCCAUCCAUACAAAUAUAGGCAGCAAGCUGUAUUUGGUCUGAGGGCUGUAGUUUGCCAACAUCUAGUCUAUAUCAGUAAGUGAAGAGCAUACAGUGCAUAAUGUAUCAGGAGUUUGCCAGGCUGAGUUCUCCGAUACCUCUCAGAUAUCUCUACUUGAAUUAUUGAGAGAUUUUCUAAACCAAAGCAUGUUUACAUAAGGGAUAGUGAGCAUUCGAAGUGGACGACUUUUUAAUUUGGCAAGCCAUAUAUGUAUUUGAUUUCCACCAUCUCAACCCUGCAGCUAUGAGUGAGCAAUUAUUUCAGCAAUGUUUAAUACUCUGCCUUGAGAUGAGAUCUCAGGGCUUCAAGUCUGUCAUUGUUGUGUUUAAGAGCUAAUGUGACCAGAAGGAGCCAUCUCAUUUCCUGUCCCAGAUUUCCUCAUAAAUUUAAAACUCUUCUAUGGUAACAAUUCUUCAGUGUUCCCAGAAUCUGAUCAUCAGGGGCCACAAGGUUCUUGGUGUACACAGACAAUAAUGCUAUUUCAUACUAUGGGCUAAAAAGUUCCCAUCUUGGAAUAUAAACAAGAAUCUGAGAGCCAGCCCUGAUGGCCUAGCAGUUAAAGUUUGGCACACUCUGCUUCAGCAGCCUGGGUUUGCUUCCCAGACGUGGAACCACACCACUUGUCUGUCAGUAGCCACGUUGUGGCAGCAGCUCACAUAGAGAACUAGAAGAGUUUACAACUAUAUACAACGAUGUACUGAGUCUUUGCGGGGGCGGGGGGGGGGGGUUGGUUGUCAACAGCUGUUAGCUUAGGGCAAAUCUUCCCCUGCAAAAACACACAAAAAUAAACAAAUGAAAGACUCUGAAACAUUUCCU